rnacentral:lncRNA from 10 species
GGUGGAGGCGGAAGUGACUGAUCAAUUCAGGGGCGUGGGGUUCGUUUAGGUUUUGCCCUGUGUAUGACCUCGUUUGGAGCCAUGAAACCAGGGCACUGAAGAUAUUAUUUAUAUUCAGAGGCUAUGUUGGUUUGGAGAAGGAAAGGUGGCUUUUCUACAAUAUAAAGAUGGAAAUGGGAAGAAGAUGUUCAUUGCAAAUUAAGGAAGCUCUUCCACGAGUUCACGAAUGGAAAUAACAUCAAGAGUUUUUCAUCUUCUUAGUGUGCAAGAUAAAUAUCAAGGAGUGCAAUUCCUGGAUUUAUGAUGUCUGAGGAAUAGUCUUAGUGGAUUAUCCCAAACUUGACACAUUUUUUGCAAAAUGCUAUACAAAAAGAAGAUACAUGCGAUUAUGACAAGAUUCUCCACUUGGUGUGACCAGUCUCAUACAACCCAAGGCUGUGUGUCCAAAGGCAACUGUACUUCUGGGACUGGAAACAAAUUGGGAACAUUUUUCAUUGCAUAUUUGGCUCAGAUCUGCCACUUAGUUGAAGUAUAAUCUUCAGCAAGUGACUCAAAAUUUCUGAAUCUCGUUUUCACCAUCAAUACAUGACAAUAGUAAUAUUUUCUCCUUUAAGUAUUUGAAAGUGUUGAGAAAGCCACAAUAGCAACACUUGCAAAAGUGCUCCAUUGUAAAAUGCAAAGGAGAGGUAGUUGUGACCCUUUGGGGAAAACUAUAGUUGCCACAAUUGUCUCUGAAAUGAAGCAUGUUUCUUAGACUGAAGGAAAGCCCUGGGAGAGAUUGGUCUAGCUUUAGGAUGACUGUGGGUAGAGCUUCUAGGGAGAAGAAUGAAACGUAUUCCUCUUUUCCUUUUCUCUAGGAAUACCGGAAAGCAUGUAUUUGUUUGCUAAAUUGCUCUCUUUCCACCAGUGAUAUCAAUUCUGAAAUACUUUUGAGAUCUUGACAAUAAUCAAAAGGUAGCCAGGUGCAUCGGGGAAAGCACUGACAUUGGAGUCAG